rnacentral:lncRNA from 1 species
GGUGGCUUCUCUCCCUUAGGUGGUUUGCCAACUGGGGUUGGUGGCUUGUAUGAGUCUUCAGCAUUCUCAGCAGGAGGGUGACCAGGGUUGUGACCAUAAUGUGGUGGCUUCUCUCCCUUAGGUGGUUUGCCAACUGGGGUUGGUGGCUUGUGUUCUGGGAGUGGCUUCUCCCCCUUGGGAGGUUUUUCCAAUGGGGUUGGUUUGUGUUCAGGAGGUGGCUUCUCCACUGGAGGCUUGUGUUCAGGAGGUGGCUUCUCCACCGGAGGCUUGUGUUCAGGUGGUGGCUUCUCCACCGGAGGCUUAUGCUCUGGUGGUGGCUUCUCGAAUGGGGGAUGCUUAGGAUAAUCAGCAAGUGAGGGGGCGGUGAGAACCACCAGGCCAAGCAACACCACUAGCAAAUAUGUAGGAGACAUCUUUGGGUUUGGGCUCAGAUGGUGCAAAACUAGGAGAAUUGGCUAGCCUUUUAUAGCGGAUCGUACCCAAUAAUGAAAUGACACGUGUCAUUAUGACCCAUGUGUAAUGGGGUCGAUUUGGGUCCUACAGUGUUGAAAACUUCGACAUCCACUUUUGGCCUUUUGCUUUCUCUACAGCCGCCUUGCUUUUUCCCUCUUUCCUUUUGUUUUCCUCCUGCCCCAUUCUAUCAACUAAACACAAUUAUGUAGUUGUUUAAUUCUUAAAUGAGAUAUUAUCCGUCAAUCGUAUUAUAUUUUAUCAAGAGAGAACGGAGUGCAAUGUGGCUGUAAUUUUAUCGUUUAGUUUUAUCUCUUGGACCACUGCAUUUUUGUUAAGAGGUGCAAUAAUACACGUCUUUAUCUGCCAUUCAAUAUUUACAGUAAAGAGAGGGCACAAAACUCUUCACUUCGCACCAUAAUUAUUUUGUUUUCUGGACACCCCGGGGCCCUUUGGUUGGUUUGGGGGUCAGAAAGUGAACAUCAUAGGGGGUUUUUCCCUUAUGUGCAUUUGUAUCUGAUGGCUUUAACUCGCCUUGUUACUACAAAGAAACUGUCACAGAUAGGAACUUAUUCCAGGCUGAGUAUCUCCUCAUAGACCCUAUAAAAGAAGACAAGUCAUAAUGAACAUCUAACCUUUGUUCAAUUUGAUUCAAUGCCCCCAUUGUGUCCAUCUCACAAAUCUGAAUUAUUAUAUCCAUUGAAUACAUAAAUUAAUGAAGAAAAUAUGAAACCCAAGAUACAUCUCUGCACAACCUCAACCCUGGUUGCUAUGUUUCCCUUCUAUUCACAUGAUUUGAUGCUAAUUGCCAAACUUGCAACAAGCCCUGAGUUUGACACCUAGUAUCGAUGGGCGAAUUUAAAGUCUCCUCCAAACAUAUAUUCCACAGCUUGAAGCUCACAGAAGAUGUUACAGGCAGGGAAAAACCUUCAGAGUUCGCUACCAAAGAUAAUUAUUAAGGAGAUAUCACAAAGAGAAUUCCAAGGGGUCUGAAUCAAAGACAAAUUGGUCGUUCGUGGGGGUUCUUACUUUCUUUUGGGUAUAACUCACUGAGGGCACUGUCUUUGUUAUUUGCAUUUCACAUUUAGAGUUCUGUUCUGGAAACAUAUAAAAGGAGCAUCAUUUUGUUCUUGGGUAACCCAUAGUCGUGAGUGGGUCCAUUUGCAUGCUACUUAGUUGAAAAGUUGGACCAUUUGCUCCGACGCCUACCUCCCGGAUUCCAUGCUCGGAUAAAACAAGAAUAAAAAAAAUAUUUAUAAUUUACAAAUGGGGGAAAGAAAAAAAUGUCAACAACAAACCAGGAAAAAAGAGUAGUAAAAUUCAUGUCACAUGCUAGUGAGAGAAGGGGUUGUUACACUCACUCGAAGUUCUUUCCAAAAUAUCGCAUGGUAUUUUAUUUUAUGUGUCAGCGCAGUUGUGAAUGGAACGUGCAAAAGUCCAAAUUGGCGUUUUUCCUUUUCCCGUGUAGGAUGGCGACCUUUAAUAAAUAUUUAAAACAAAAAACGAAAAAAAGGAGGGAAAAGGGAUCAGAAAAGAUAAAACAAUGUGUACAAGAGCUCAAUUAGUUUGCAAAUUACUGUUUGGAUUUUGAUAGUAUUUUAUUUGUCCAUCUAUAUUUGAUGGAAAAGAGAAUUUAAGAUAUUUCUGAAACAAAAGCAUUAGUGUAAAACUAAAUUAAGGUAUAAUUAAGUUAGUUCAAUGCAUUAAUUUAAGAAACUUGAUCUAUCCAAAGUACAAAAUUAGAUGAAAUCCAUUUCAAUGGUUAAAAUGAUCAAAAUCAAACUUUUUCUAAGUAUUUUUUAAAAGCAUCAAUAUUAAAAGACAAUUUUAUAUUUAGUCGGAGUUUGGACAAAACCAAAAAGCACACAAAAUCCAAGCGACCAUCUCUAGCUUGGAUAGUCACUUGAUCCCACCUAGAGAUGUGCAUGAGUAAAAGGAUUUGAAAAUGGAAAUUGACUAAAUAUUUAGUUGAUCAAUUAAAUUUGCAAUGUCAUAUGCAAUCCUAAUAGCUAGUCAUCUAAUCAAUUAGGUAGUCAAUCAAGUGUUUGUAAUGACUAUUUUGUACAAAAAACCACAUGUAUAGUUAAAUAUAAUGCAUUUCAUUUAUAAAUCUUCUAAUUCUUGAAUAACGAUCCUAUCAUCCUUUGAAAAUUUUUAUUACACCUUUUUUACUUUUGUUCUAAAACUUACAUAUCACCCUUAAUUGUACCAUGAGAACCUAGCUAUUUUUUUUUUUUUUGUAAUUCAUCAAAGUUAGCUUUUGUAUUCAUUGUUGUAUUAUUUUUAGUAUAACUUAGAAAGCUAGUGUUUUCAAGUGAGUAAAAUUAACUUGUAAAUAUUGUAAAGAUUCAUUGAUAUGUAUCUUAAACUAAGUGUACAAAUUAAAACAUUUGCUAGUAGAUUUUCUCAAAAUUUAGAAUAGAGCUUGAGGCUAUUGAAAUAGGUGGGGUUACACCAAACCACAUCACAUCGUUGUUUGCACCUUUUUUCACUCUCUUUUACUUAGUUUCUCUAUAUUUGUUGUCUAGUAAUAUCCUAUAGGCUUGAUGGGUUAGGGAGCAUCCCUUUGUGAAAAAAUUUCAUUCAAUUCUUAGUUGUAUUACGCAUAUAUAAAAUGCCUCAUUGUUUUAAUGGUAUUCAGUCGUGGCAUCACAGAUAUGGGCAUCUAAAUUUUAAAAGUUUGAAACUUUUGUAAAGCAUGUUGAUAAAAUCCAUGAGAGUUGUGUACUUGGGAAGCAACAUCGAGGUGACUUUAUUUUUUUUUCCUUUUAUAAUGCCACACCUAAGUCCGGUUUCUAAAUGCUAAAGUGAAAGGGUAGGUAUGGACCAUUGAAAUGUGAUCACAACUUUUGGCCUUUUCCUUUCUCUGCAGCCAUGUUGUCUCUUUUUUCUUUUGCAUGAUUUUCUUACCAAAACAGAAUCAUAGACUUGUUUAGUCUCUAAGCUACUAUAUUAUAUCUCGGUGGACUUUUAAGAGUGCAACCGACAUAGAGCACAUGCAAGUGGGCAUAUGGGACAUGAAAUUUCUUCUUACAAAGAUUGCAUGAUUUUUAUAUUAGAGUUGUUCACGUGCAAUGUAUUUAGCUUGUUUUGCAGUUAAAUUAAUUGGAUAAGUAAACAUUGGCAUUUCUAAAUCGACUGUGAAGUGCUUCAUGUACGUGUAAAGUAUUAGAAAUUUCUUUCUUGGCAACUUGUUUUUUCCUUGCCAUCUACUGGUAGGUUUGACUAAAAUUAUAUUCCCUGUCAUGCUAAUUAAUUUUCAUGUGCAUGCUCAAAAGAAGAGUAUGACCUUAGUGCACCAAAAUCACUUUGAUUAAUUUGUGAUAGGUUUUUUUGCAUCAUUUAGAUAAUGUUUAGUUCUAAGAAAAAUUUAUAUAAAAAUGGUUUAUUUAUCUUACAUAUAUAUAUAUAUAUAUAUAUUUUUUUUUUUUUCAUUUUUUUUUCUUCUAUUUUAUUUAUUUAUUUUAUUUUCCUUAUGUUUUCCUCACAUUUUCCGGAACUAAACAUAGUCUUACGAAAUCAACAAUUGCCUUCAACUGAGUAGAUUCUGUUGUUUUAGCAAUGUUAGGCUGCUAACUUGUGGUGGUACGAACCAAAUGACCCAUGUUAAUCUUGGCUUGGUUUGAUUUGGCUCUAUCUCAGAGAGCUAAAGGAUCACGUCAACUCUGGUUUCUACUAUUCAGGUCCAUUCCCAGAUGAACUGGUUCAAAUUUGAGAAAAUGGUAACAGACCUUUAGUGAUGUUGGUUUGGAGCCAGUUGCCAAACCCGCCCUGAGCUUUACCACUAAUGUCAAGGGAGAAAGCCAUUUGAACAAAAACAAUAGCUUCAAGAGACUGAAUCGUGGAUGAAAUCUGAUCCACAUUUCUUCUCAUUUUGGGAAAAAAUGAGAACUUAACUACAAAGAUUCUACUGCCUCAUUCAUAGUGCUUUUCCUGAUCCAAGGUUGGUUCGUUUCCCAAAUUGUGAGGUGCACGUGCCACUCUCACGCUCAGGAGUGUAUCCACGUGGUGGACAUCAGAUGGUGGCUUAAUAUCUGGUGUCGGUGGCUUUACUUUACUAGGAGAGUAGUGUGUCUUCAUCUCAUUCACUGCCGGAGGGUGGCGUAAGCAGUGACGCUAAGGUGGGGCACAGUCAAUAUCAUUUGCAUUUGACCAUUAUAGUUUUCUCCCGGCUUGAAAGUAACCUUAUCGUGAUAAAGGAUUACUAGCACUAGUUCAGAUGACCGUCAUGUUAAUUCGGACCAUGUUUGUGUCACAUUAUCAGCAACCAUGUGUUUAUGGUUCAUGCUAUCUGCAACUAAACUUGAUAUAUAACCAGGUGAACUUCAAUCAAAAUUCUGGAAGUACUCUUGUGAUAGAUGGUGCCUGUCUGCAGAGUCCAUCAAUUGAAAAAUGGAGUGAGUGUAUCUAUAAGAGGGAAGGCUUGGCAAAUGUUCAGUUUUCUGGGAAUUCAACAAGGAUCUAAAAUAGAUUGUUUUCUUUGCCGACUUCAAUGGUUGAAAUUUGAGAAGAUUGUGUCCACAUAUCACAACUAUUACUGGUCCUUCUGUUGCAAUUUAUCCUGUAAGGCUCUAACAUGUCUUCCAAUUCCCACUUCCCUGUUACUCCAGGAAAGCUAUUUCUGUCAUUGUGAAGAAGAAAAGAGAAUGUACAUAUCGAUGCUUUUAAGUGACUGGAGCAUUCAUAUCAGGUGGUCUGCAGCCAUAUAUGCCACUUUGUGAAGGUUGGAACAGUCAAUCACUAGGCUAUAUAUUGGUGUGGCCCAGCCACUUCAAUCAAGGACAAGUCUUCAUACUUAAAGUCAAAUUCUGCCUUUAGUCUCAUUAUAAAUUGCUGUUUAAAUAUUAAGCAAACUUUUGUUUAAUGCGAUUAAGACAGUACUAACUCAAUACUUGUUCUAUUUUUGGAUGCAAAUGCUUGAUGGUUUCAUCAUUGGAUGGGAUAAAGGUGCAUUCAUGAUUAUGAAUACUUGUAGUUAUAUUUUCAUUCUCUUUUUUCUCAAUGAGACUUGUUGGCACAAUGUUGCUGUUCAGAAACCUACCUCUCCAUGGAAAAUAAGUUGCGAUUGAUAGUACUGGAUAUGUUCAAGAAAGCUAAAUAUAGAUAGCACAAAAUAUUAUCGAUAUAAAUAGCAUUAACAGCGUACGUAUGUCUCAAUGCUCAUCAGCUAUAAGCAUGGGACAAACACUUACUAUGAGCAACUUACGUCAAAAUUCCAGAAUAGGACAUAGAAGUGACAGAUCUAUAUAUAUAGAACACUGCAUAUGAGUCACAAGAAAGGAAAUUACGGGUGCAUAGCAGCUCUUAUUUUACAUACUACUACUCAUACUGAUCAAAGUCACUCAGUUGGGAUGGGUGGGAGUAGGAGGUUUGUGGGGUGGCUUGUGCGGAGGAGUUGGCAGCUUCUUUCCAGGACCUGGUUGCUUCUCUGCUGGAGUUGAAGGAGGCUUAAUCUUCCGAGGUGGCUUGUAUGAGUCUUCAGCAUUCUCAGCUGGAGGGUGACCAGGGUUGUGACCAUAAUGUGGUGGCUUCUCUCCCUUAGGUGGUUUGCCAACUGGGGUUGGUGGCUUGUAUGAGUCUUCAGCAUUCUCAGCAGGAGGGUGACCAGGGUUGUGACCAUAAUGUGGUGGCUUCUCUCCCUUAGGUGGUUUGCCAACUGGGGUUGGUGGCUUGUGUUCUGGGAGUGGCUUCUCCCCCUUGGGAGGUUUUUCCAAUGGGGUUGGUUUGUGUUCAGGAGGUGGCUUCUCCACUGGAGGCUUGUGUUCAGGAGGUGGCUUCUCCACCGGUGGCUUGUGUUCAGGAGGUGGCUUCUCCACCGGAGGCUUAUGCUCUGGUGGUGGCUUCUCCACCGGAGGCUUAUGCUCUGGUGGUGGCUUCUUGAAUGGGGGAUGCUGAGGGUAAUCAGCAAGUGAGGGGGCGGUGAGAACCACCAGGCCAAGCAACACCACUAGCAAAUAUGUAGGAGACAUCUUUGGGUUUGGGCUCAGAUGGUGCAAAACUAGGAGAAUUGGCUAGCCUUUUAUAGCGGAUCGUACUCAAUAAUGAAAUGACACGUGUCAUUAUGACCCAUGUGUAAUGGGGUCGAUUUGGGUCCUACAGUGUUGAAAACUUCGACAUCCAGUUUUGGCCUUUUGCUUUCUCUACAGCCGCCUUGCUUUUUCCCUCUUUCCUUUUGUUUUCCUCCUGCCCCAUUCUAUCAACUAAACACAAUUAUGUAGUUGUUUAAUUCUUAAAUGAGAUAUUAUCGGUCAAUCGUAUUAUAUUUUAUCAAGAGAGAACGGAGUGCAAUGCAGCUGUAAUUUUAUCGUUUACUUUUAUCUCUUGGACCACUGCAUUUUUGUUAAGAGGUGCAAUAAUACACGUCUUUAUCUGCCAUUCAAUGUUUACAGUAAAGAGAGGGCACAAAACUCUUCACUGCUCUGCAUGUGUCCCAAAAAUGCGAUUGGACAAAUUAUGAUUUGCAUGCUAAAAAGAGGCAAAUGAGGUUAAUUCGCACCAUAAUUAUUUGGUUUUCUGGACACCAUAAAAAGAUGUUAUACAGGCAGGGAAAAACCUUCAGAGUUAGCUACCAAAGAUAAUUAUCAAGCAGAUAUCACCAAGAGAAUUCCAUAGAGUCUGAAUCAAAGACAGAUUGCUCGCUCGUGGGGGUUCUUACUUUCUUUUGGGUAUAACUCACUGAGGUCACUGUCUUUUUUAUUUGCAUUUCACAGUUAGAGUUCUGCUCUGGAAGGUUUGUUCUGGAAACAUAUAAAAGGAGCAUCAUUUUGUUCUUGGGUAACCCAUAGUCGUGAGUGGGUCCAUUUGCAUGCUACUUAGUUGAAAAGUUGGACAAUUUGCUCCGACGCCUACCUCCUGGAUUCCAUGCUCGGUAAAACAAGAAUAAAAAAAAAUAUAUAAUUUACAAAUGGGGGAAAGAAAAAAUGUCGGAAAAAAUAGUAAAAUUCAUGUCACAUGCUAGUGAGAGAAGGGGUUGUUACACUCACUCGAAGUUCUUUUCAAAAUAUCGAAUGGUAUUUUACUUUAUGUGUCAGCGCAGUUGUGAAUGGAACGUGCAAAAGUCCAAAUUGGCGUUUUUAUUUUUCCCAUGUAGGAUGGUGACCUUUAAUAAAUAUUUAAAACAAAAGACGAAAAAAAAAAGGAGGGAAAAGGGAUCACAAAAGAUAAAAUAAUGUUUACAAAAGCUCAAUUAGUUUGCAAAUUACUGUUUGGAUUUUGAUAGUAUUUUAUUUGUCGUUCUAUAUUUGAUGUAAAAGAGAAUUUAAGAUAUUUCCGAAGCAAAAGCAUUAGUUUGCUCUGUGAUGUCCCACAUCGAAUAGGGGAGAAAGUUUCUGGCGCUAUAUAUGUAGAGGCUCCUCUUAACCAAGUAGAUGCGUUUUAAAACCAUGAGGGCCCCCUUAGGUCCAAAGCGGACAAUAUCUACAUGAUUGGGUGUAAGUCAUUACAAAUGGUAUCAGAGCCGAUCCCCGACCCCGGUGUGGGGGUUUGUUUGGCCCUGUAAGGGGUGUUUGUCUGUUUGACCCCACAAUCCCAUGGGACACAACGAGGACGUUGUGUCUGCAUGGGGGGGCGUUUGUGAUGUCCCACAUCGGAUAGGGGAGAAAGUUCCUAGUGCUAUAUAUGUAGAUGUUUCUCUUAACCAAGUAGAUGCAUUUUAAAAUUGUGAGGGCCUCUUUGGGCCCAAAGCGGACAAUAUCUACAUGGUUGAGUGUAAGUCAUUACAUGCUCCAUGUCAAUUUCAGCAUUUCUCAUAUGUUUCACACAUACACAGAAGAGCAUCGUUUUUUAAAGCAUGCAUUUAUGUUGGAUUAAUUUGGAUUUUGUGGGAACUGGGGCAAGGAUCACAUGGAAGAGAGGUUGACUUUUUUCAGUACUUCAAUGGUUGAAAUAUGUGAAGGCUUGAUUGAUACUAAAGCUUGAAAUUGCGACUCUGUCAUUUGUAAAAAAAUAUGACAGCUUCCAUGCUCUCGUUUGGUUGCAUUGUCCGGUCGAGAGGUGCAAAAAGCAUUCUCUCUCUUCUAAUAGUCUUUUCGUUUAAAUCAAGGGAUUUGCCUUCCCGGUCGAGGUCCAAUAGAGGGUAACGGUCACCUACUAAACAUUAAAUGCUCCAACAACUAGUGAACUGAUCGACCCCAGCUCGACUAGUUGAGGUUACUUUUUGGUUUUCUUGUCUCCCGAGGUUAGAAACCUAUAAAUAGAGAGCUUCACUUCAUUUAUGAGUAAGAGAACACCUAAAUUUAUUUGUUUACCUACUUGUUUUUGCCAUAAAAGCUCUCAUUUCUUUUCUUGGUGUAUUAAAUCUCCAUUUGCAUAUCCUUUAGUGCACCUUUGUGAUUCAUUCUAGCCUUGAGUUGUAUUUAAGCCUUUGUUGAGCUAGGUUGAGAGUUUCAUACUUGUUUAUUGAGUGUUAAAGCCUUCAAGUGAGUUAAAACUUGAAGAGAUUGUGUAAGAGCCCAUUGGAGUCGGAAUCCAAGUGUAAAGGUGAUUAAAAGCUUGGUUGAAGCUUCAAGUUAGUGGAACUCUCACUCGGUUAUGAGCUUGAGAAGAGUGGACAUAGACAAGGCAGUGUCGAACCACUAUAAAAUCUGAGUUUGAUUUCUCUAACCUUAUCUCUUUAUAUUUGCUUCUCUUGUGCUUAAAUUUUUUGUGUUUAAAAAGAAUUUUUAAAAACUCAAUUCACCCCCUUCUUGGGAGUUUUUCUCUUUUAAGAUCAGCUUUUAUUUUCUCAAUUGGUAUCAGAACUAUGCCUCUUGUUUAAGACUUAAUCGUCUAAGAGGAAAUGGCUAAUCCAUCAAGUUCAUCUCACAUUGAAAGUUUUGCAACCAAUAGACUUCUUUUUUUUUUUUUGCGGGAACUGAUUAUCCCUAUUGGAAAACUAAAAUGACUUGGUUUUUACAAUCAAUUGAUUUAGAUGUAUGAGAUGCCAUUGAAGAUGACCUAACUUUUCCUUCAAAACUAGUUGAUGGAGUCAUGGUUCCAAAACCUAAGCAAGAAUGGGAUGAGCGUGAUUGAAGAAAUUUUCAAUUAAAUGCUAAAGUCGUUUAUACUUUGCAAUGCUCUAUGGACAGAAAUGAAUAUAAUAGAAUAUGUCAAUGCAAAUCGGUUAAAGAAAUUUGGAGAUUGCUUGAAAUAACUCAUAAAGGAACAAAUCAAGUUAAAGAGUCAAAAAUCAAUUUACUUGUUCAUAGAUAUGAAUUGUUUUUUAUGAAAGAUAAUGAAACUAUUGUUAAGAUGAUCACUAGGUUCACCAACAUUGUUAAUGGUCUUAAAGCCUUGGGAAAGACCUACAAGGAAUCCGAAAACGUGAUGAAGAUCUUGAGGUCACUUCCAUCAAAGUGGCAUACCAAGGUCACCGCAAUUUAAGAAGCAAAAGACUUGAUCAAGCUACCUUUGGAGGAGUUCAUAGGGUCAUUGAUGACAUAUGAAAUCAAUUUGGCAAAGAAGUAACAAAAAGGUGAAGACAAAAAGAAGAAGAACAUAACUCUCAAAGCUACAACUAAGGAAGAAGAAGUUGAAGAAGAAAAACAAAUUGAAGAAGAUGAAGAUUUAGCCCUCAUCACAAGAAAGUUCAACAAAUUCAUGAGGGGUGAAAGGUUUAGAAGAAGAAGGUUCACUUCUAGAAGAGACUUUUCUAAAAAGGAAUCUUCAUCUAAUGGUGACAAAAAGAGAUGGGAAGAGAAAAGAGACUUGGUGUGUUUCAAGUGCAAGAAACCGGGACACAUUAAAUAUGAUUGUCCUCUCUACAAAAGUGAAGUCAAGAGGAAAAAGAAUAAGGCAAUGAUGGCCACUUAGAGUGAAAGUGAAGAUGAAUCAUCCGAAGAAGAAAAUGAGAAAGAAGUGGCAAACAUGUGUUUCAUGGCAAUAGAUGAACUUGAUGAGGUAAAAUCUAACCUUAGUGAUUAAGAUAUACAUGAUGCAUUUGAAGAAUUGUAUGAGGAUUUUUAAAAACUUAGUUUGAAAAAUAUUUCUCUUAAAAAGAAAGUUCAACAACUUGACAAAGAACUUAGAGAAGUAAAAGAAAAAUUUUCAAAUGUUAAAGUUUCUAAAACUCAUCUUGAAAAAGAAAAUGAGAUUCUAAGAAAGAAAAAUGAAUAGUUGAACUCCUCUCUUUCAAUCUUUUCUUCUAGACAAAAAUCUUUUGAAAUGAUUCUAACUAGCUAAAAAUGUGUUUUUGACAAACAAGGGUUAAGAUUUAAAUCUUCAAAAAAUCAAAAGUAUUUUAAAAACUAUUUUGUAAAGGAAUCCACAAGUGCAAGUCCUUCCACUACUUGCAACUUUUGUGGAAGAGAAUGGCACAUUAGUAGUACGCCCUUUAAGAAAUGGUUCUCAAAAGAAUUUAAAUGCAAAAACUAAAAAAGAUUUGGAUUGAGAAAUCCAAGGUCACUAACCCUCAAGGACCCAAAAAGAUAUAGGUACCUAAAUCAACUUGAGUUUUAUGUUGUAAGGUUCAAAGAAUGAUAAGUGGUUCUUAGAUAAUGGUUGCUCAAGACACAUGACCGGAGAUGAAUCCAAGUUUGCUUUUCUUAAAAAGAAAAAUGGAGGAUAUGUUACCUUUGGAGACAAUGCAAAAGAAAGGAUGAUUGGUCAAGGCAACAUUGGUAAUGGCACAUCCUCUCUCAUUGAAAGUGUUUUAUUAGUAGAUGGUUUCAAACAUAACCUUUUAAGCAUUAGUCAAUUUUGCGACAAAGGUUUUUAAGUGAUUUUUUAAGCAUCUCAUUGCAUCAUCAAGGAUAUUCAAAAUGAUAAAACCAUUUUCAUGGGCCAUAGAUGUGAUAAUGUUUAUGCUAUAAAUAUUUCAAAAUAUGAUGGCCAUGAUAGAUGUUUUUCAAGCAUGCAUGAUCAAAGUUGGUUGUGCCAUAGGAGAUUGAGACAUGCUAACAUAGACCUCAUUUCCCAACUCAACAAAGAUGAACUUGUUAGAGGCCUUCCCAAAAUAAUUUUUUAAAAAGAUAAAGUUUGUGAAGCUUGUCAAGUGGGAAAGUAAAUCAAAAACUCUUUUAAAAACAAAAACUUCAUUUCCACAUCUAGGCCACUUGAGUUGUUGCAUAUGGAUUUAUUUGGUCCCUCUAGGACACCAAGUCUUAGAGGAAAUUCUUAUGCAUAUGCUAUUGUGGACGACUUCUCUAGAUACACAUGAGUCUUGUUUUUUAGUCAAAAGAAUAAAGUUUUUUAUGAGUUUUCAAAGUUUUGCAAUAAGAUUCAAAAUGAAAAAGGUUUUUCAAUUACUUAUAUAAGAAGUGAUCAUGGGAGAGAAUUCGAAAAUAUUGAUUUUGAAGAGUAUUGCAAUGAGCAUGGAAUUGACCACAAUUUUUUGGCUCUUAGAACUCCUCAACAAAAUGGGGUAGUUGAAAGGAAAAAUAGAACUCUUCAAAAAAUGACAAGAACCAUACUAAAUGAAAACAACUUACCAAAAUAUUUUUAGGCCAAAACGGUUAACACUUCUUGUUAUGUUUUAAAUAGAGUAUUAUUGAGGCUCAUACUUAAGAAAACUCCCUAUGAGCUUUGGAAAAACAAAAAACCCAACAUUAGUUAUUCCAAAGUCUUUGGAUGCAAUAUUUUAUAAUAAACACCAAAGACAAUCUUGGAAAAUUUGAUGCAAAAUUGGAUGUUGGAAUUUUCCUUGGUUACUCAACUUCAAGUAAAGCUUUUCGAGUUUUAACAAAAGAACCAUGGUUGUAGAGGAGUCCAUCCAUGUUAUUUUUUAUGAAUCUCCAAGAAAGAGAGAGGAUUGAUGAUGAUUUAGGUUUGAAGACCUCUAUAGGAAGAUUGCAAAUCGAAGAUAGAAGACAACAAGAAGAAAAUGGAGAGAAUCCAAAGAAAGAAGGAUCACCAUUGGCACUACCCCCUCAUCAACAAGCGCAAGGUGAAUCAAGUCAAGAGCUUCCUAAAGAAUGGAAGUUUGUCAUCAAUCACCCACAAGAUCAAAUUAUAGGCAAUCCAUCUAGUGGGGUAAGAACUAGAUCCUCUCUUAGAAAUAUUUGCAAUAAUCUAGCUUUUAUCUCUCAAAUUGAGCCUAAAAAUAUAAAUGAUGUUUUAGAUGAUGAAAAUUGGAUAAUUGCAAUGCAAGAAGAGUUAAAUCCAUUUGAAAGAAGUGGAGUAUGGGAAUUAGUACCAAGACCUUCAAAUCAAAGUGUUAUUGGAACUAGAUGGAUCUUUAGAAAUAAAAUGGAUGAAAAUAGCAUAAUUGUUAGAAAUAAAGCAAGAUUGGUAGCCCAAGGUUUUAAUCAAGAAGAAAUGAUAGAUUAUGAAGAAACCUUUGCCCCCGUAGCUAGGUUGGAAGCCAUUAGGAUGCUACUUGCCUUUGCAUGUUUUAAAGACUUUGUUUUAUAUCAAAUGGAUGUGAAAAGUGCUUUUUUAAAUGGUUUUAUAAAUGAAGAAGUAUAUGUUGAACAACCACCCGGUUUUCAAAGUUUCAACUUUCCUAACCAUGUUUUUAAACUUAAAAAGACACUUUAUGGUUUGAAACAAGCACCUAGAUCAUGGUAUGAAAAAUUGAGUAAAUUUCUUUUGAAAAAAAUGUUUUAAAAUGGGAAAAAUUGACACAACUCUUUUUAUAAAAACCAAAGAAAAUGAUAUGCUCUUAGUUCAAAUAUAUAUUGAUGAUAUCAUUUUUGGUGCUACUAAUGUCUCUCUUUAUGAAGAAUUUUCUAAGUGCAUGCAUAGUGAGUUUGAAAUGAGCAUGAUAGGAGAACUCAACUUCUUCCUUGGACUUCAAAUCAAGCAACUAAAGGAAUGAACCUUCAUCAAUCAAGCAAAGUAUAUAAGAGAUCUUCUCAAAAGGUUCAACAUGGAAGAAGCCAAAACAAUGAAGACUCUAAUGAGCUCAUCCAUUAAGCUUGAUAAGGAUGAGAAAGGUAAAUCCAUUGACUCUAUUAUGUAUAGAGGCAUGAUAGGUUCUUUGCUCUAUUUGACCACUAGUAGACCUUACAUUAUGUAUAGUGUGUGUUUGUGUACUAGAUUUCAAUCUUGUCUUAAAAAAUCUCACUUAAGUGUCGUGAAAAGAAUCCUCAAAUAUUUGAAAGGGACAAUGGACAUAGGCUUAUGGUAUCCUAAGAGUGAUAACUUUGAAUUAAUUGGUUUUUUGGAUGCUGAUUUUGUCAGUUGUAGGGUUGAAAAAUAAAACACUAGUGGCACUUUUCAUUUCUUAAGACACUUACUUGUCUCAUGGCAUAAUAAGAAGCAAAAUUUGGUAGCUUUGUCAACAGCAGAAGCUAAAUACAUAGCAACUGGUUUAUGUUGUGCACAAAUCCUUUGGAUGAAAUAAACACUUAGUGAUUUUGAUUUAUCUUUUGAGCAUAUUCCUAUUAAAUGUGAUAAUAGUAGUGCCAUAAGUAUAUCAAAAAAUCUCGUGCAACACUCUAGGACUAAGCAUAUAGAGAUUAGACAUAAUUUUCUUAGAUAUCAUACACAAAAGGAUGAUAUAACACUUGAAUUUGUAAGCAUAAAAGACCAACUUGCCGAUAUCUUUACAAAACCUCUAAGAACAUUUUGUUGAUAUUAGAGGACAAUUAGGAGUGAUUUCUUUAUGAUCUAAUGUGAUGAAUUCUUGAUGAAUAUACUUUUUGAUUGCAUGAAUUUCAUGUCAUAUAUGCAUCAUAUAGAAAUAUACUUAGAUAAUGGUCAAAUUUCGACCAAAAAUCAAAAUUCCCAUGGCAUUAGGCAUAAAAAUUUUGGAAUUUCAACUGAAAAUGGUAGGAGGAGGAUCACAAAAUGAGAAAGUAUGCAAAAAUUGAAAAAUCAAAACGUUGACCAAGCGGUCAAUCGGACUAGACCGAUCGACUAGUUUGUCGAGAUUUAGGAUUUUUAAGAGACUCCAACGCUUCAAUUUUUGCACCGUUCUCCUCUAUUUCUUCACGGUUUCUCUGAUUUUGUCUUUUAGAGACUAAUUUGAGUGCGUUUUGGAUCAAUUGAAGCAUUUUGGAUUGGAUUUUAGGAAGAUUGAAAGUUAAGGUUUCGGAUUUGGGUCGCCUUCUCUUCCUCUCGCGUGUCACAAUCAGCUUUAGCAUUGUUCUCUUUCCAUUUUCACACACCUAGGGUUUCAGUUGUGAGCAUCUCUCUCUCUUUACCAACCACUACUCCCUUGCUUCUUCCAUAUGGCUCCUAGGCGAGAGUCCGCUACUUCUAGGGCACAAGGCAAGCACCCAACUGAGUCGUCUCAGUCAAAGGCACGUCGAAAAGUGAGAUUUGACAUUGCCUUGUUCAGUUCCAUGGAGGACUACCAACUAUACAAGCAACACUUUGCUUAGAGACGAGUAGUUCCCAAGAGAAAUAUUAAUUUUCCUCAACUUCAGCAUUUCGAAUUUAAGGGUCUAUUUACUAGGAUGGUUGGUUGUCUAUUGUCACAAUUUCGGAGCCGGUUUUCCUGACCUUAGUGCGAGUUUUUUACUCGAGGGCGACUUAUGGCAUGGGUGGCAUGAUCAUUUCUACUGUUGGAGGAGUUGAGAUCUGUCUGGACCCAGAGAGCAUCUGCCAUAUUUUCGAUAUUGCUCUGGUUGGACUCAAAGUAUACAAGUCCAAAAUGUGGCCCAUUGUGCCAGGAUUUGAGCUUAGAGAGGUCAUUCAGAGGAUUUGUGAACUUCCAGACGCCCAGGAGAUGGGCAAACCAUUGCCACACAGUUUGACGGUCAUCAACAGGGUGCUACACCAUAUAUUGUGCUCUAUCUUUCUACCACGAAGUGGACAUUGAGAUGAGGUCUCUUAUUAUGAGGCAUUCCUUAUUGACUCCAUUCUAACGGAGAGACGAAUUCAUCUACUAUGUCAUCAUUCACUAAGCCUCCUCACAGUGACAUACCACCUCAUCAGGCACCUCUUGCUCCUGACCAUGCUCCAUUGAUGGAUUUAUUUACUCAUAUUAGCUCUCUAGGCACUCGCAUGAAGGAGUUUGUUGUAGUUAGUGAUACAUGGUUCUACUCCAUAGAGGAUCGCAUGGAUCAGUAUCAGACUGGCUUCACGUCACAGUUUGAGUAUCUCCAAUAGAGGAUUGAGCAUAUUGAGGAUCACUUGAGCAUGAGAAGAUGAUGGCUUUUCUAUGCUCUGUGUUUCCACCUCCACCUCGUCAACCUUGAUUUCUUAGAGACCCAUUGUUUUCAUUUUGUAAUGUUGCCAAAAGGGGGAGAUAUUUAGGAUCUAGGACUCUAUAGGAGACUUACAUGCAUAUCAUUUUCAUAUCAUUGUUUGGAUCGUACAUAUUGGAUAGUGAUACUUUUUACUUAUAUAUGAUAUGCCUAUAUGUUUCAUGUCUUACAUUGUUUCUUAUUGCAAAUUAUCUCUAACAUGUCUUGAUUAUCUUUUUUUUAACUUCAUAAAUUUUGAUUGUUAACCCAUGAUUGGUUUGAGGGGAAGAUUCUUCUUCUCCUAGAUAACCAAGGUUUGUCAUCAUAAAAAAAUUGGAGAUUGUUAGCCCAAGGGUUCUCCUAAUCAUGUUUUGAUGAUAACAAACCAUGCUUAAGUUACUAAUUGGUUUGAAUUAUAAAGAAUUUCAAGUGUUAAUUUGAAAAUUCAUCAAAGAACCUAAUGGAUGCAAGAUCAAGAUUUUUGGAAGACCUUUAAUCAUAAGAAACAUAUGUAAGAUGAAUGCAUGGGUGCACUUAAGAUUUGCAUAUCAUUUCAUGCAUAUUUGGAAAACACGGUUUAUGCUUUAAAGUUACAUUUCCAUCAAAAUUUGAGAUCCAUCAAAUGAACCUUAGGAAAAAUGUUUUAAAAUUGGCAUAUAAUUUUACCUAAAGACCUUGCCUAAGUGUUAGAAGCAAAAGGACAAAAAAAAUAUAGGUUUUCUGGUCAAAAAUGGUGAACCAGUCAAGGCAUUGUCUAAAUCAGCUCAAUCGGCCAAGGUACCGGUCGAUCGGUUUCCCUUUCCCUGUCGAGAUCUAGUCAAGAGGUACAAAAAUCACAAUCUCUGUCUCUUUCUCUCUUUGUCUAUCUUCCAGUAGUCUUUCCUUCCCGGUCGAGGGAUUUGCCUUCCCGAUUGAGGUCCGAUUGAGAGUAAUAGUCACUUGCCAAAUAUUAAAUGCUCCAACAGUUAGUGAACUGGUCGACCCCCACCUUGCCCAGUUGAGGUUACUUUUUGGUUUUCUUGGCUCCCGAUGUUAGAAACCUAUAAAUAGAGAGUUCCACUUCAUUUAUGAGCAAGAGAACACUUGCAUUUAUUUGUUUACCUACUUGUUCUUGCCUUAAAAGCUCUCAUUUCUUUUCUUGGUGCAUUAAAUCUCCAUUUUGAUAUCCUUUAGUGCACCUUUGUGAUUCAUCUUAGCCUUGAGUUGUAUUUGAGCCCUUUUUUUAGCUAGGUUGAGAGUUUCAUACUUGUUAAUUGAGUGUUAAAGCCUUCAAGUGAGUUGAAACUUGUAGAGAUUAUGUGAGAGUCGAUUGGAGCCGAAAUCCAAGUGUAAAGGUGAUUAGAAGCUUGGUUGAAGCUUCAAGUUAGUGGAAUCCUCACUCAAUUAGGAGCUUGAGGAGAGUGGACGUAGCCAAGGAAGUGUCGAACCACUAUAAAAUUUGAGUUUGAUUUCUCUAACAUUGUCUCUUUAUAUUUGUUUAUCUUGUGCUUAAAUUUAUUGUGUUUAAAAAGAAUUUUUAAAUACCCAAUUCACCCCCCUCUUGGGUGUUUUUCUCUUUUAAAAUUAGCCUUUAUUUUCUCACAAACUAUUGUAGUAUAGUGGUUUUUAGGUGUCAUCCAUUAGGAUGAAUUGUUCUCGGUAAUUAAGGCGUGAAUGAGAGGAGAAUUAAUGAUUGUGAUUAAGUAAAAUUGAUUUGAAAAUUCAUGGUGAAAAAUCAAUUUAACAAUGGUUUCUAAUUGAGAAAAACAAUGAAAUGUGAAAUAAAAUAAAAUUAAUAGGAAAUGAAAUUCUCGAAGUUAGAAUUUUCUAAAAAACAAAUUCCAUGGUGAAUGGAUGUUGAGAUCUAAUUUUCAUCAAGUUAGAUUGAAAACCGAAAUUUUCAUAUAAACUGAUUUUUUAUUUAGUUUUAGGUCUAGAUUUAAUUUCCCUUAAAAUUAGGUUAUUUAAUCCAAGAAAUCAAUUCAAAUCAUAUAUUCAAUUCAUCUUAAAUUAUCUUCCAAUUAUUCACACAAUGCAACUAUUCAAUCUCAUCAAAUCUAGCUUUUAAGAAUUUAAUGAAUCUACCUAGUUUGCAUUGUAAUAGUCAUCCAUGACAAUUUGAAGAGAAAAAUAAUUCAAUUAAUCAAUCACUUGGAUCAAAUUACCUUUGCAAUUAAAGUUCAUUUCUCUAAUUCACCACAGAUUUUGUCUCUAGAUCCUCCUUUCUCAAAGAAAAAUGAGAUUUAGCCACACAUGAUUGGAGAUUUGGUCUCAUAAGGCAUGUUUAGCUAGUGAUAAAAUGAGAGAAAAUAAAGAAAAAUAGAGAAUUCGAUUAAGAAAGAAAAUCUAAAAAAUUCUACAAUUAGAAAUGUCCAAAAAGCUUUUUCAUGAGAAAAUCAAGUUUCUAUUUAUAGGCCAAGGUCAAGUGGACACUUGACAUCAUCUAAGAGGUCUUCCGGAAGCUUCUUCAUCAAGAAAUCUGGAGUUUAAUAAUAAAAUGGUCAUUUCACAAGAGCUCAAACAAUUUCGCAUGAUUAUGUGAAAUAAAAAAUGCAACAACAGCAAUUUACAUCUUCUUGGAGCAUUUCGCAUGACUGUGUGAAAUUUUCACAUGAUCAUGUGGAAUCGACUUGACAACUCUCAUUUAGCCUACAACAUAAUUCCACCUUUUGGUCCAUUUUUCAUAGUCAUGCGAAAUGGAAAUAUUUGAUUUUUAAGUUUUCUUUUGUCAUUUCUUUCAUUUCCUUCUCUUGAUUCCACUUCAACUACCUCCGAAUCCUGGUCCAAACCAAUUGCAUUACUUCUUUCAUUAUGCAUUUGGAUCAUCAUCAACAUUAUUUGUUCUCUUCAAUUUGAUUCAUCUCUUUUGUCACCAAUUUAUCAAAAUCAUACCUUGAAAUGACUCCAAAACUUCAUAAAACUUGUUAGUAACUCUUGCAAGGGCAACAACAUAUUAAUUAAGUGUUUUAGGCAUAGUUACUACUCAAAAGAUGCGAAACUCAUGAUAAUUAUUAUAUAAAAUAUGCUCUUUUUGAGUAGUAAUCAACUUUCUUGCAUAAGCAGACCUUUUAGGGUGGAGUACUAAAGACCAAUAUGCUUGUCCUUGUUGUAAUAAAGAAACUUGCUCUUAUUGAUUGCACCAUGGGAGAAAAUUUUGCUACAUGAGUUAUCAUCAAUUUCUUCCCACCAAUCAUAGAUUUAGACGUGACAAGAGGCCUCUUAAUGGCAAGGAGGAACUGACACUCACACUUAUACAAUUAUCGGGCAUUGAUGUGUUGCAACAAUUAGAAUAACUUACACCAAUUAUGUUGGGGAAGUCACAAAAGGCAAACAUGAAAACUAAAAGGAAAAAAGAAAAAUGUUACAUAUCACCACAACUGGAAAGAAAAAAGUAUUUACUUUCAUUUGCCAUAUUGGAAAGCACUUAUUUUACAUCAUAAUAAUUUAGACAUAAUGCAUAUUGAGAAAAAUGUGUGACAAUAUAAUUGAGACAUUGUUCAGUAUUGACGAAGAAACAAGGACAACCUAAAUAGUCAUCUCGAUUUACAAGCUCUAACUAUUAGAAAUGAGAUUCACCCAAUAGAAAGCAGGACCAAAUUUAUUUUGCUUGCAACAUGCUACUCACUCACCCCAAAUGAGAUUAAGGAAUUUUGCAAGUUUUUGAAAUCAAUAAAGGUCCCCAAUGGCUAUUCUUUCAAUAUCUCUCGUUAUGUGCAACUCAAUGAAAGGAAGAUAUAUGAGCUCAAAUUGUAUGAUUGUCAUGUCCUAAUGCAACAACUUCUCUCACUUGUAGUUCGUGGAGUUCUACAUAAGAAUGUUUGUGGAGUUAUCAUAGAAUUGCGUAAUUUUUUCAAGCAAUUGUGCUCAAAGGUGUUAGAAACAAAUCACUUACACCAACUUGAGAACAAUAUUAUUGUCAUACUAUGUAAAAUGGAGCAAAUAUUUCUUCCAUCAUUCUUUGAUAUUAUGGUGCAUUUACUUGUGCAUCUAGUAAGGCAAAGGUUGCAAGACUUGUGCAAUAUUGUUGGAUGUACCUAAUUGAACGAUAUUGUUAUAAUUUCAUAUGAAUCAUUUAAUUUUAUUUUAUAUUAUGUUCAGUUCAUUAACAUGUACAUUGGUCUACAUAUGGAUGAUGAUAGGUACCUAAGCACUUUAAAGUCAUAUGUGCGUAAUAGAACUUUUCUAGAAGGUUCUAUUGUAGAAAGGUACCUUGCAAAAGAAUGUACAACAUUUUAUUCUAGGUACUUGAAUGAUGUGGAAAUAAAGUAUAAUCACAAUGAUAGAAACUUUGUUGGUUUCAACACUAGAGGAGAUGAAAGGGGUUAUCUUUAAACAUAUUGGACAUGCAUUGGGAAAGCCCAUAUUUCAUUAACUUAGUUCAAAAGAGUGGUCACAAGCACAUUUAUAUGUGUUGACAAAUUGCGAAGAUGUCAUACCAUUCAUUGAGUAAAAAAUUUAUUUGAAUUUUAAUUAAAGCUCUAGUUUAUAUCCUUAAUCAAUGUUUUUUAAAUUCACAAGGAGCACAAGCAAACCAUCAAGGCUAGACCACAUAUACGUGUUUGAGACGUAGAUUUAAUUCAUAACAAGGAAUUUAUCAAGUGGUUUGAAAGACAUGUAAGUAUAUUCCUUAUUAUAAGGGAUUUAUUUCACAUUAUGUUUAUAUUGAAUCCAAACCUAUUAUUGAAUUGUAGGUUGAACAAUUACAUAAUGAAGGUCAUAUAUCUGAACACCUUCUCACAUUAUCAUGUGUUCCAAAUUCAUUAGUUACAUGCUUCAAAUGAUAUAUUGUCAAUGGAUUUAGAUCCCACAUUAAAGAACGUGAUAAAAAAGUUUUUAAAAAAAGACUCAGAAUAAUGGAAUUGUUGUAGUUGCAAAAACGUCAAGCUUUACAAGUGCAUGUGAUAUGAGUCCAAUUAUUAGUGAUGCUCUCUACUAUGGUGUUCUAACUAAAGUUGUUGAGUUACAUUAUCUUGGUGAAAAUAAGGUUGUUUUAUUCGAGUUUGAUUGGUGGGAUGUUACAAAUAUUGGAAAAUUGAUAAAAGAUGAUGAGUACAAUUACACAUUUGUUAACUUUGCAUGAAUUCUAACCACGAACGAACGAUUUGUACUUGCAUCUCCAGCAAAGUAAGUGUUCUAUGUGAAGAAUGCGAAUGAAUCAGAUUGGCAUACUAUCAUGGAGAUGCAACCUCAAGACCUCUAUAAGAUGAACGGGAUAGGAUCCAAUGGUGAUUUUGAACCAUUUCAACAAAGUGAACUACAUGAUCACUAAUAUAUCUCAGAUUUAGUUGAUGAAGAUAUAAUCAAGUGGAACAAAAGUGAUGUUUUAGGACUAAUCAUCCUAAAAAAUAUUGUAGUUUCUUAAAAAAAAAAUGAAAAUGAAGAAGAUAAUUGAACCUUUGUCAUACUUUAAAAAGCAACUAUGCAUUGUUCAUUUUGUAUGUUUUGGUUUUCUUCAUUUAAUUUCCUGAUUUUUGUGAUUCAAUGUCAUAUUAUUGAUCUUGAAAUAUUUUUCUAAUUUUUCAUUCUACGAUGGUUUCAACAAGGAUGACAUCAAGUCAAAAAAGGAAAUGUGGUCCCACACACAAUAUUGCAUUACAGGGAUUAAGGUCAGGGAAGAAGGUAAAAGUUGCAUUUAAUGAGUACAAUCAAUUGGUUAAACAGAAAAAUGGAAAACACUUAUCGAGCUACAUAGGGACACUUGUAUCUAACCAACACAAUGUACCUCUCCAAGCUAGUGAUUGGAAAAAUGUUCCAAAUGAUGCAAAAGAGAAAGUAUGGCCUUUGUUUUGGUAUGUUGUAUUUCUCACUAUAUGAUGUCAUUUCACUGUUAUUCUAUUUUGUGACUAACGUUUGAAUCAUAUGUAAGAAAAAUUUGAAGUAGAUAAAGACUGAAAAGAUUACAUGUUGGGUAUAGCCUCAAAUAAAUAUAGAAGCUAUAAAAAUAUGAUGAAUGCAAAAUACUAUGACCCUUGGCAUAAGGAUGCAUGAGGAGAGGUUAAUACAUAAAUCACCAUUUGUCUCUGAUGUUGAUUGGAAGUGGCUUGUCUCUGAUGCAUAAACCAAAUCCCCCACUGAAUGUUUGAUAUUUGAUAGCAGGAAAAACACACCCGCAGCUAUACACCUCCAUCAUUCAGAUAAUUAUAGUGGGGGAGAUGAUUCAUGGUUGCCCUUAUACCCUUUAUUUGCACCAUCUAUUGAGAUUCUUUAUCAUGGCCAGGUUUUACUGCAGCAAUAAGAUAUGGUGGCAACAAUUUUAUCUAUAGGUGCGGUUCCAGACCGCCUCCAUAGGUGCGGUUCCUGACUGCCUCCAUAGGUGCCUCUUCUUGUAAUGUUUGUUCUGGGAAUUACACUUGAAAGCCUUAUCGUGAUAAGGGAUUACAAACACUAGUUCAGAGGACAGCCAUGUUAAACUUCCACUAUGUUUGUGUCACAUUAUCAGCAGCCUAGUGUUUAUUGGUCAUGCUAUCUGCAACUAAUAUAACCCGGUGAACUUCAAUCUAAAUUCUGAAAGUACUCAUGUGACAGAUGGUGCCUUUCAGCAGAUAUCAUCAAUUUAAAAGUAGUGUGUGUGCCUAUAGGUGGGAAGGCCUUGGCAAAUGUUCAGUAUUCCGGUAAUUCAAGAAGGAUAUAUCUAAAAUAGAUUUUCUUCUUGCCCAUUUCAAUAGUUAAAAUUUGAGAAGAUUGUGUCCACAUCACACAAAUAUUAUUGGUCCUUCUGUUGCAAUUUACCUCUGAACAUGUCUUCCAAUUCCCACGGUCCUGUUACUCCAGGAAAACUAUUUCGGUCAUAUUGAAAAAAAAAAUAUUAAAGAAGGUACACAUGCUUUUAAGUGGACUGGGGCAUUCAUAUCAGGUGGUCUGUAUCCACAUAUGCCACUUCGUGAAAGGUGGAACAGCCUAAUCACUAGGCUAUUUAGUGUGGCCCAGCCACGUUAAUCAAGCACAAGUCUUCAUACUUAAAGUCAAAUGGUGUCUUUAGUCUCAUUACACAUCGCUAUUUGAAGAUUAACUCAUCACUAGUGUAAUGCGAUUAAGACAGUCCUAACUCAAUAUUUGUUCUAGUUUUGGAUGCAAAUGCUUGCUGGUUUCAUCAUUGGAUGGGAUAAAGGUGCAAUCAGGACUAUGAAUACGUGCAGUAAUACUUCAUUCUCUUUUUUCUCAAUGAGACUUCUUGGCACAAUUUUGCUGCUCAGCAACCUACCUUUCCAUGGAAAAUCAGUUGUGACUGAUAGUAAUGGAUAUAUUCUAGAAAGCUAAACAUAGAUAGCAUUCAAUAUUAUCGAUAUAACAUUAACAGCGUAUGUCUCAAUGCUCAUCAGCUACAAGCAAUGGACAAACACUUUGAGUAACUCACAGCAGUCAAAAUUCCUAAACAGGACAGACGUGACAGAUCUAUAUAUAGAACACUGCAUAUGAGUCACAGGAAAAGAUAAUACGGGUACAUAGAAGCUCUUAUUUUACAUAUUACUCAUACUGAUCAAAGUCGCUCAGUUGGGAUGGAUGGGAGAAGGAGGUUUGAGGGGUGGCUUGUGCGGGGAAGUUGGCAGCUUCUUUCCGGGAGCUGGUUGCUUCUUUGCUGGAGUUGAAGGAGGCUUAAUCUUCCGAGGUGGCUUGUAUGAGUCUUCAGCAUUCUCAGCAGGAGGGUGACCAGGGUUGUGACCAUAAUGUGGUGGCUUCUCUCCCUUAGGUGGUUUGCCAACUGGGGUUGGUGGCUUGUUUUCUGGGAGUGGCUUCUCUCCCUUGGGUGGUUUGCCAACUGGGGUUGGUGGCUUGUGUUCUGGGAGUGGCUUCUCCCCCUUGGGAGGUUUUUCGAAUGGGGUGGGUUUGUGUCCUGGUGGUGGCUUCUCUCCCUUGGGAGGUUUACCAAUUGGGGUCGGUGGCUUGUGUUCUGGGAGGGGCUUCUCUCCCUGGGGAGGUUUAGUGGGUGGCUUGUGUUCUGGAGGUGGCUUCUCCACCGGAGGCUUAUGCUCUGGUGGUGGCUUCUCGAAGGGGGGAUGCUCAGGGUAAUCACCAAGUGAGGGGGUGGUGAGAACCACCAUGCCAAGCAACAACACUAGCAAGUAUGUAGUAGACAUCUUUGGGUUUGGACUCAGACAGUGCAAAACUACGAGAAAUCGCUAGCCCUUUAUAGCGGCUCGGACCUAAUACUGACAUAAUAUAAAAUAAAUAUUAUAUUUUAUCAAGAGAGAACAGAGUGUAAUUUUAUCAUUAAUACCGAUCGAGGCCAAAGAAAGAAGACCCAUAAUCCAUUUCCCACAAGCAUACACAAUGCAGCUGUAAUUUUAUCAUUUACUUUUAUCCCUUGGACCACUGCAUUUUUGUUGAGAGACACAAUAACACAUUUUUAUCUGUCAUUCAACAUUUACAGUAAAGAGAGGGCACAAAACGCAAUUAGAUAAAUUAUGUUUUGCCUGCUAAAAAGAGGCAAAUAACUUUAUUUGCAACAUAAUUAUUUUGGUUUCUAGUGACCCCGGGGCCUUUCGGUUGGUUUGGGAUCGGAAAAUGAACAUCAUAGGGGGGGUUGUGCCCUUAUGGGCAUAUAUAUCUGAUAGCUUCAACUGGCCUUGUUCCUAGAAAGAAAUUGCCAAAGAUAUAAACUUAUUCCAGGCUGAAAGUAGAUGAGAGUCAUAAUGAACAUCAACCUUUGUUCAGUUUGAUUCAAUGCCCCCAUAGUGUUCAUUUCACAGAUCUGAAUGAUUAUAUCCGUUGAAUACAUAAAUUAAUGAAGACAAAUAUGAAACCCAAGAUACAUCUCUGCAUAACAACCCCAACCCUGGUUGCUAUGUUUCCCUUCUUCUAUUCACAUGAGGAUACUGGUUAUAAUUGUCAAACUUGCAACAAGCCCUUUGACACCUAACGUCAAUGGACGAAUUAAAAGUCUCCUUCAAACGUCUAUUUCACAGCAUGAAGCUUAUAAAGGAUGCUGACAACCUUCAGAGUUAGCGACAAAAGAUAAUUAUCAAGGAGAGAUAGUUCCAUGAGAAUUCCAAGGAGUCUGAAUCAAAGACAAAUUGCUCACUCAAGGGUUCUUAUUUUCUUUUAGGUACAAAUCUCUUGAGUGUUGUUAAAGAAACACGUCACUGUCAUUUUGAUUUGCAUUUAACAUUUCACUUUUGUUCUGGAAGGUUUGUUCCGGAAACAUAUCAAAUGAGCAUCAUUUUCUUCUUCGGUGACACAUGGUCGCGAGUACGUGGGUCCAUUUUCAUGCCACUUAGUUGAAAAGUUGGAAAGAAAAAACAUGCCAACAAGAAGAUAGUGAGAGAAGGGGCACUUCAAGCCUUUAACAUGAACAAACAGUAAAUAAAAGAUGUUUCUCCACUCAUAAAAGUGUGUUAGAUAGCAAUAUAACGAAUCACAUCCAAAAUCUUUACUAGGCUCAAACAUAAAGAAGACUCAUUUUUAAGAAAAGAUAAAAAUGGCAUUGUCUGAUAGUAUCCAAUACACGAGAUGGCACUUAAUUUGUACAAGAUCUGUCAAUGCUGACGCACAUUUUCUGAUUAAAAAAAAACUGAUCAGUCAAAAGCAAUGAAGAGAAGUGAUGACAAUGAAUGAUGCUUCCAAUAUUUUCACCCCUUAUAGUGUUCUUCAUGAUUCAGAUAUAUAAUUGGAAAUAGAACAACCCUAUGCCAUACAUUCGUCUAAGUAUGGUGUCUAAUUUUUUGUGUCAGCGGUUGCGAAUGGAGCGUGCAAAAGUCCAAAUUGGCGUCUCUCCAUUUCCACAUAGGAAGGUGACCUUUAUUGACAAAUACCCAAUAUUUGUAGACAUUCCUUAAAUAUCAUAACUUCUUGUUGAUUUGAAAAUCAUUUUUCAACUACCAUGUUUUAAUAAAUAUUUUUUAAAAUGUAUUUUUAUCAAAGUCCACCAUGAUGGAUAAUAUUCACCAUGCAAUAAUUAAUAAAGUACAAACUAAGCGAAAUGAAAAGCAUUUUCUUUGCUUUGAGUUGAUUUUGGUUGCAUUGAGUUGAUUUUGGUUUCAUGGUUUUUUCAACUCUUAUUUUGAUUGGAAGAUGUCAAGAAAAGAAAACAUAAAGAAAAAUUAAAAGGGAAAAAAGAAGAAAAAUAAAAAAAAAUAGAUUUAAAAGUUAAUAAAUUAUUUUUUAUAUUUAUUUUAAUUCAUUUCACUUAUUUUUCUUUUACUAUAUAAAAUUUAAAUAAUUUAAAUUUUAUAAUUAAUUUAAUUACAUUUCAUUUUCUUCUAUAUUUAAAUAUUGGAAAAAUAUUUUACUUAAUAUUUUUUUCUUUAAUUUCUUUGGCAUUUUGGGAACCAAACUUAGCCUUUAAAAUAAAAAACAAAAAAAAAAUGAAAAUAAGGAGGGAAAAGUGAGAAAAGAUAAAAACAAUAUGUAAAGGAUUUGAAAAGUAUUAGUUUGUAAUUACUAUUUGGAUUUCAAUAGUAUUUUAUUUGUCUUUCUAUAUUUCAUGUAAGAGAGAAUUUAAGAUAUUCCCCAAGGCAAAGCAUUAGUUACCUGCAAUCAGUGGUGAUAAGGCUCCAAGCCAAUUUUGGGCCCCAUAUCUUAAGACAGUACAAUUUCCAUUUCAACAUUUCUGAUUUCUCAGAUGUUUCACAUACCACAGAAGAACAUUGUUUGUGAAAAUAUGCAUUUAUGUUGGAUUUUGUAUGCUGUGGGGACUGGGGCAAGGAUCAUAUGGAAGAGUGGUUGACUUUUUCUGUACUUUAACGGUUGAAAUAGGAUAAGCACGGGCAUUUGUGAGGCUUAAUUGAUUUUGAAGCCUGAAAUUGCGUUUCUGUCAUUUUGUCAAAAAAAUGGCAGAUUCCAUACUCAUAUGUUUGGCCUGUGGCCAUGUACAGAUGCCAUUUAGUGACCAGUUUGUAACUGUCAAUCGUUGCGUUUUGACUCUGCCUCAACAACAUCUGCCAUUGACGGGUUUUCAUACUUGCAAAUCAAAUAGUCUUUCGUCCCAUCAGGAAUUUCGGUUUAAAUAUUAUUAAGCAUACGUUUGGCUGACAAUCAUUAUCCAGUUCAUGAUUUGGUUUCUUACCCUUAAUCAAUGGUUUCUAAGUGAAUAUAUGUAGAAGGAAAUCCGAAGUGUAGACAGUAGUAUCGAUAACUCUCAAUAUUCUCUAUAUAAUAGAAUAAACAGCGUCAUAGUGAUCGUCGCCUACAAGCAAGGUACAAAUACCAAAACGAGUGACUCACAUAGACAUCUCCCAACAAGAUGUAGUAGUGACUGACACAUGGACACAAUUAACUCGUAGAAAAGGAUAAGACCAUUGCACAGCAGCUCUUAUUUUACAUACUACUUAUGCUAACCAAAGUCAAUUAGUUGGGAUGGGUGGGAGAUGGAGGUUUGUGCGGUGGCUUGUGGGGCGGAGUUGAUGGCUUCUUUCCAGGAGCUUCUGGCUUUUUCAUCGGAGCUGAAGGAGGCUCAAUCUUAUGAGGCGGCUUGUAUGAGUCUUCUUUACUCUCGACAGGAGGGUGGCCAGGGUUGUGAUCAUAAUGUGGUGGCUUCUCUCCCUUAGGUGGCUUGCCAACUGGGGUUGGUGGCUUGUGUUCAGGAAGUGGUUUCUCUCCCAUGGGAGGUUUAGCAAUUGGGGUUGGUGGCUUGUGUUCUGGGAGUGGCUUCUCUCCCUUGGGAGGUUUAGUAGGUGACUUGUGUUCUGGAGGUGGCUUCUCCACCGGAGGCUUGUGCUCCGGUGGUGGCUUCUUGGUUGGAGGGGGCUUGGGGUAAUCAGCAAGAGAUGGGGUGGUGAGAACCACCAGUCCAAGGAACAACACUAGCAAGUAUGUGGGAGACAUUUUUGAGUUUGGGCUGAUCAGAUGAUGCAAAACUAAAGCAUUACGUGACCUUUUAUAGCAUGUAGCUCCCAAUACCCACUAAGUAUUGUGGGGUCCAUUUGUGCCCUACGGGGUUGAAAACUUAGACAAUUGGGCAAGGACCCACCUGACUAUGGAGGACUAGUGAGGUGUGAUCAUAGCUUUAGGAUUUUUCUUCCUCUGCAGCCGUCGUGCCGUUGGCAUGAUUUUCUUAAUCUUAAAUAAAGGCAUAGUUAUAGAGUUGUUUAAUCUCUAAAUGGGAUUUUAUAUAUAUCUUCAGAUAGCCAUUAAUAUAUUUGAUGAAGAAAGAAAGACAAGUGCAUACAACAUGUAUACGACUAGCUUUCAUGGAGUUCAUUUAUGAUCAGUUUUCCUGUACAUGUAAACCAGGAUCAUAUAUAUGUUUCUGUUCCACAACUAUUUUGGAAUCUUGUUUAUCAGUUUUUAUCAUUAUAAUGUCACAUAGGCUGCCAACUUGGGCGCUAAAAGAACCAGUUGGGCUAGUUCGUUUCAGAAUUUCAAUGUGGAUUCAGGAAUUGUUUUGUAAGAUAUGCGAAAUAGUAGAGGGAUGAAUAGUGUUUCAUUAAUAAAAGUGUCCUGUAAAUUAGAAGGUGUCAUAGAAACUAUAAUCAAUAAAUAACUUUUUUUCCCCACGGGUGGUGUUUCUUGUGGGGAUCAGUGACUGGUUUAGGUUCACCCAAAAUGAGUUCAGACUAAAAUUGGUUUGAGUCAAUGCCGUGUCUCUUUUUUCCAGAAAUCAACUAUUUUAUGCAUUGAAUAAAUCAUACAAAGAAAAUAUGAACGCCCGCAAAACCUAAACCCUGGUUGCUAACUUUCUAUGUUUCAGUUCUAUUCACGCAAGAAUAUUAGUUUAAGUUUGGGAAAAAUGGCAACUUACCUAGUGAUUACUUGGUUUUGGUUUGCGACUAUUUACGCAACCAACCAUGAGUUUGACUUUAACGUCAUGGGUUGAAGCCUCCUACAGGAAGGGAGAAAGCUCCACAGCUAGCUCCAAAAGAGAAUUAUCACAUUGAUAGCUCCAGAGAUUCCCAAGGGGACUGAAUCAAAGACAAGUUCCUCACUUUUUCUUCUUUUGAGGCCAAAUAUGAACCAAGGAUCACACAACCUCAUUCAACUUCAUAAGUUUGAUUUCAUGCAGUUGAACACUGGGUGAAGGCCAUGACAAGAAUUGAUUCAAAAAUUCUAUCACUCUUUUAAGUAAUGGAAGAUUAUUAUCUCUGAUUGGCAUCACAACAGCACAUGCUCCUAGAUCUUUCUAGACACUCCAUGCAAUGAAAGCACAAUGGAUCUUGUAACGAUAGAAACUAAGCCAUGCUACAGUACUAGAUGAUGAGGUAAAACUAGUAGACACGGGUGGCAGCCUAUAUGGGAGGGACACAAGUCUAAUUGAUUUGCAUUUCAGCAUUAUAGAUAGGUAUGUUUUGGAAGAUUUGUUCUGGAAAUACCGCACCAAGUAGGAUUCUUUUUCUCUUUAGUGGGUCCACUUGCAUGCCAAUUAACGAGUUGAAAAGUAUGAGCACCUACCUCGUGCUCGUGGAACCGAAGGUCAGUGAAGUGGGGCUCCUUUUGGCCUCGUGUAAACUUGAUUCAGAAGUGAAGUUAAUAGUCUUCCAUUCAGAUGGAUACAUGGGAAUUUUUCUCUUUUAUUUAUUUAUUUAUUUUUUUUUUGUGUGUGUAUGUCAAAGGAUAAUGAAUGAAGCGCGUUAGCUUGUUUUCUGACUGGAACCGCAGAUGUCCAAAUUGGAGUUCCUUCAUUUCUUACUUAGGAUUGUUACAUGUAUAAACAAGGUAUAAGAAAUAUGCCAACGUGUCUUGAGGAGUUAUUGAUUAGAAAUAACAAGUCACCCGACUGUAGAGUUCCAAGAUUUGAAUCUUCAGACCCUAUAGCAGCCUCUGGGGUACGUGGCAUCCUAUAGCAUAUUAAUGAAGGCUUUUUCGAUUUAGACUUCACAAUACCAAUUAAUAUGUAUGCACAAAAUGGAGAUGACCCCAAAAAAAACAGAAUCGCCAUAGUUUAUGAGGUUAAGGUGAUUCUCCACUUAAUAUCUACAUUAGCUAAUUAUGUAAAUCAAAUGAACUUCUAUUUUUCCUUUUUUUUUUUGGUUUAUGUCAAAUAGUAGCCCAUAAUUAACCCAACCAUUAGCCUGUUUGAAUUGAUUUCACAUGCACAAUGUUGUAGUAGUUCAUAUUUUGAAUUUUAUUUUUACAAAGGUAGUUAAGGAAAAUGAAGUAUAAUAAUUAUAAAAGCAGACUAUAUACACUACAAUAAUUGUUAGAAUGGUAUCUCAAAUUCUAAUUUAAAAUAUUAUUUUUUGUAAAAGAAAUAUUAUAUAGAAUAUUUCCUAAUUUUAUAAAUGAUUAUAAUUAGAUCUUUAUAAAAUAAGGAAAGUUGGUAAGAAUAUCUUUAUAAAUAUUUUAGGUCAUGAGAGAAAGAAAUGGGAUAAAAAUGUGAUGAAGAGGUGAAAUAAGAGAGUUGAUUAGGAUAUAGAUGUGAAGAAGAAAGGGAUUCAAUAUAUAUAUAUCUUUCAAUUACCACAUUAAAACCCUGUGAACCUUUUAUAUGGUUUACUUUAUUUUUAUAUUCCUCCUUUAAUAUAUUUACAUUAAUGCUUCCAUUGGCACAACAAUAACGAAUUACAAAUACAAGCAACAAGUCCCAUGUUUUAUUACCAAAAGCAGGUAAAAUCCACCUAAUAUAUUACAAUAUAUUCAUCCAAUAUUUUAGACCAAUUCUUCACCAUAAAUAUCAUAAUGUGGCUUUUGUUCUUUCUUAAAUUUAAAUUGAAUUGUCUUAUAUCAAUUUGUUUGUGAUUUUUUCAUUAACUUCACUUUCAUUUGGUUAUCUUUGGUUUUUGAAAAGUAUUAAGGAAUUAAUUAACAAAAUAAUGUUAAGAAAAAUAAUUUUCUCUCUUUUGAUUUUGAUUUUGUAGUAGAAAAAUAUAAUUAAAAUUAUUUAAAAAGUAUGUAAUUUUAAAUUAUUUAAUAUUUAGAUAAAAAAAAUAAGUCUAAUGAGUUUAAAAUAACAUAUAAAAAUAAUUUAUUUAUUUUAAAUUUAUUUUUUAUUUUCCAUUAUGUUCUCUUUCUCUUUUACUUUUUCAUAUUUUUUCUUACGAAGAAUCAAACACAACCUCAUAUUAUAUGUCAAGUGUUUGUCUAUAUUUGAGCAAUGUUAGAUACGGCCAUGGAUUCAUCAAACUAAACUGAUUUUAAUAGAUACUUCACAAAUUGAUUUAUACACUAAAUCAUUGGAUAGCAAUGAUGCAUUGGAAUUAAACGUAGGAUGAAGCUCGAAGAACACUGUUUGUGUAACAACAUAUUUAUGAAAUUAUGCAAAGGAUGAGCUUCGGGGUAGUAGUACAAGGUCAUUAAUGGAGAGCCGUGUUAAACCUUGAUUGUGAUUGGAUUCCGUUAUCAGCAACAGCAACCUUGUUUGUAACCUUGAAAGUCAUUCUGUCCACAUCGAAACUCCAAUUUGACGUUUGUAAUUACCAUUCCUGGAGUGUUCCUUGAUUGAAAUUUAAAUAAUAAUUGCGGCCCACAAGGAAUAUUUUCGAUUCUGUGGGAAUUUGACAAGGUUUGUUAGAGAAGACUGGUGACAUGUUGACUUCAAUGGUUCAAAUAGGAGACGUAUGUGGAUUUGGGGGGUUUAAUUGAAACUGAGUCCCUAUGGCUUUUUAAUAUUUGCAUUGAGCAGUCUCCAUGUGACUUCCUAAUUCCCACCAACCCUCCUGUCCAUGCUGUGAAACUAAAUUGUAAUUUAUCAGCCUUUGUCAAUGGUUUCUAAAUUAAAGAUAUAGACCAUGCAUGUACUUUAAUAAAAGCAAAUCUAAAGUGUAGAUAGCAGCAAUGGUGACACCCAAUAUUCUCCAUAAAAUAGAAUUAGAAUAAGCAGUGUUACAUUGUUCAUGAUCACCUACAAGCAUACAAGAACUUCCAUGAAUAACUCAUAGCAAUUGCCAACAGGGCGUCGUAGAGACUCAUACAUAGAACACUAUCCACCCAGAGGAAAGGACAAGACCAGUGCGCUGCAGCUCUUAUUUUUCACAUGUAUACCACCACUCGUAAUAACCAAAUUCACUCAGUUGGGAUAGGUGGGAGAUGGUGGUUUGUGGGGUGGCUUGUGGGGAGGAGUUGGAGGAGGCUUUAUUUUCUGAGGCGGCUUGUAUGAGUGUGCAGGAGGAUGCCCGGGAGUGUGACCAUAAUGUGGUGGCUUCUCUCCCGUAGGUGGUUUGCCAAAUGGGCUUGGUGGCUUCUCUCCCUUAGGAGGUUUACCAAUUGGGGUUGGUGGCUUGUGUUCUGGGAGUGGUUUCUCUCCCUUGGUAGGUUUGCCAAUUGGGGUUGGCGGCUUAUGUUCUGGGAGUGGCUUCUCUCCCUUGGGAGGUUUGCUAAUUGGGGUUGGCGGCUUAUGUUCUGGGGGCGGCUUCUCUCCCUUGGGAGGUUUGCCAAUUGGAGUUGGCGGCUUAUGUUCUGGGAGUGGCUUUUCUCCCUUGGGAGGCUUGCCAAUUGGGGUUGGCGGCUUAUGUUCUGGGGGUGGCUUCUCUCCUUUAGGAGGUUUGCCAAUUGGAGUCGGCGGCUUAUGUUCUGGAAGUGGCUUUUUUCCCUUGGGAGGUUUGCCAAUUGGGGUUGGCGGCUUAUGUUCUGGGGGUGGCUUCUCUCCCUUGGGAGGUUUGCCAAUUGGAGUCGGCGGCUUAUGUUCUGGGAGUGGCUUCUCUCCCUUGGGAGGUUUUGUUGGUGGCUUGUGUUCUGGAGAUGGCUUCUCCCCUGGAGGCUUGUGCUCCGGAGGUGGCUUCUGAAAUGGCGGGGGCUUGGGGUAAUGAGCAAGAGAUGGAGUACUG